CGGGGGCCGCCCGGGGCUGCUCCGGUAAGGGGUCCGACCGCGGGCGGAGAGCGCCAAGCCGUGGAGGAGCGGGCGUCAGGUGCAGAACUUCUGUAAGGUCUGGAAGCCGGACGUGCGUGGACGUUCAUACGCACGGACCUGAAGUUACGGAGGUCGCACUCACAGGCCGUUCUGCUGCACAGACCGGAGCCCCCGCUGCCAGUGUGUGUCCACCUGUACAGAUCCCAACUGAAAAGGCACUGUUUCGAAGAAGAUCCUCUUGGCACACCUGUGUAUUGGGAGACAACAAAGGAGUACACUCUAAAGAAAAUUCCCAACAUGGGGAAUCAAGAUACAUCUGA
rnacentral:lncRNA from 1 species